AGAUCAAUCAAGCUUCUAAAUCAUCAAUCCUCUCUUCCACAAAUAAUAUAUAUAUAUAUAUAUAUAUAUAUAGCCUCCUAUUUCCAACAAAUUGGUAUCAGAGCUUGGUUUGACAAGAUGAUGGCCAACAAUGUCAUCAUGUUUCCUCGCUUCACAAAGGAUAAUUAUGAUCGAUGGAGCAUCCAUAUGAAGACCUUUGUAGGUGGACAAGACCUAUGGGAGAUUGUGGAGCAAGGUUAUGAGGAGCGUAAAGACAAGGGCUCACUCACGAAAGAAGAAAAGCG
rnacentral:lncRNA from 1 species